rnacentral:rRNA from 1 species
UAAUACGGAGGAGGCAAGCGUUAUCCGGAAUUAUUGGGCGUAAAGCGUCCGCAGNCGGCUUACCAAGUCUGCGGUCAAAUACCAGAGCUCAACUCUGGGUCGCCGGUGGAAACUGGCAAGCUAGAGUACAGUAGGGGUAGAGGGAAUUCCCAGUGUACCGGUGAAAUGCGUAGAGAUUGGGAAGAACACCGGUGGCGAAAGCGCUCUACUGGGCUGUAACUGACGCUGAGGGACGAAAGCUAGGGUAGCGAAAGGGAUUAGAUACCCCUGUAGUCUUAGCUGUAAACGAUGGAGACUAGGCGUGGCUUGUAUCGACCCGAGCCGUGCCGAAGCCAACGCGUUAAGUCUCCCGCCUGGGGAGUACGCACGCAAGUGUGAAACUCAAAGGAAUUGACGGGGGCCCGCACAAGCGGUGGAGUAUGUGGUUUAAUUCGAUGCAACGCGAAGAACCUUACCAAGGCUUGACAUCCCGCGAAUCCUGGUGAAAGCCGGGAGUGCCUUCGGGAGCGCGGAGACAGGUGGUGCAUGGCUGUCGUCAGCUCGUGUCGUGAGAUGUUGGGUUAAGUCCCGCAACGAGCGCAACCCUUGUCCUUAGUUGCCAGCAUUCAGUUGGGCACUCUAGGGAGACUGCCGGUGACAAACCGGAGGAAGGUGGGGAUGACGUCAAGUCAUCAUGCCCCUUACGUCUUGGGCUACACACGUACUACAAUGGUUGGGACAACGGGCAGCGAAGCGGCAACGCCGAGCGAAUCCCAGCAAACCCAGCCUCAGUUCAGAUCGCAGGCUGCAACUCGCCUGCGUGAAGGAGGAAUCGCUAGUAAUCGCAGGUCAGCAUACUGCGGUGAAUUCGUUCCCGGGCCUUGUACACACCGCCCGUCACACCAUGGAAGUUGGCCAUGCCCGAAGUCGUUACUCCAACCCUUGUGGAGGAGGACGCCGAAGGCAGGGCUGAUGACUGGGG